rnacentral:rRNA from 1 species
AGAGUUUGAUCCUGGCUCAGGAUGAACGCUAGCGGCAGGCUUAACACAUGCAAGUCGAGGGGCAGCGGGGAGUAGCAAUACUCCGCCGGCGACCGGCGCACGGGUGCGUAACGCGUAUGCAACCUACCUUUAACAGGGGCAUAACACUGAGAAAUUGGUACUAAUUCCCCAUAACAUUCGAGAAGGCAUCUUCUUGGGUUAAAAACUCCGGUGGUUAAAGAUGGGCAUGCGUUGUAUUAGCUAGUUGGUGAGGUAACGGCUCACCAAGGCAACGAUACAUAGGGGGACUGAGAGGUUAACCCCCCACAUUGGUACUGAGACACGGACCAAACUCCUACGGGAGGCAGCAGUGAGGAAUAUUGGUCAAUGGACGCAAGUCUGAACCAGCCAUGCCGCGUGCAGGAAGACGGCUCUAUGAGUUGUAAACUGCUUUUGUACUAGGGUAAACGCUUCUACGUGUAGGAGCCUGAAAGUAUAGUACGAAUAAGGAUCGGCUAACUCCGUGCCAGCAGCCGCGGUAAUACGGAGGAUCCAAGCGUUAUCCGGAUUUAUUGGGUUUAAAGGGUGCGUAGGCGGUUUGAUAAGUUAGAGGUGAAAUACCGGGGCUCAACUCCGGAACUGCCUCUAAUACUGUUGAACUAGAGAGUAGUUGCGGUAGGCGGAAUGUAUGGUGUAGCGGUGAAAUGCUUAGAGAUCAUACAGAACACCGAUUGCGAAGGCAGCUUACCAAACUAUAUCUGACGUUGAGGCACGAAAGCGUGGGGAGCAAACAGGAUUAGAUACCCUGGUAGUCCACGCAGUAAACGAUGAUAACUCGUUGUCGGCGAUACACAGUCGGUGACUAAGCGAAAGCGAUAAGUUAUCCACCUGGGGAGUACGUUCGCAAGAAUGAAACUCAAAGGAAUUGACGGGGGCCCGCACAAGCGGAGGAACAUGUGGUUUAAUUCGAU